ensembl:lncRNA novel transcript
AGUCUUCAUAGACUAUAUGCUGGUAAUUUACCUUUGAAUAUAGUGAGUACUUGGAACUAUGGGAGGAGGGUCAGAGUGGGAUAUAGCACAACAGUAAUUGUCAGAGGCUGACCAUGAAAUGCAUUAAAGUGUAUUCCUAUAUCUAGUUUAGCCUUUAAUUCUCCCCAGGCGAGAGAGAGAUGUCACUCAGGACUGCUUCCGAAGGAGUUUCCCUUGAAGCUUGCUUCACUGUCUGACUCCUUUCAUACAAGUGGGUAACAUGCCCUUCAUUCAGAACCAAACCUGUGCCCUGGCUUGGUAUAUUUCCUCCACCUGCUGAGCAUCCUCUCACCCUCUACUUUUACCUGGAAGAAAGAAGACAAUAAUAUCUACCAAUCAAGAUGCUGUACCUGAAGCAGAAGAUAACCUGGCAAAGAAAAGAGUAUAGUGCUGCCUUCAGGGAACUCCUAGUCUAGGGGAAGACAGCCAAUAAUCACAUAACUGCUCUAAUCAAAUAUUUCACCAAAAUAAAGUAUUAGCCACCUCCU